GCCAAUCAGAUUUUAGGGGAGGCACGGGCCCUUGAGUCUUGGAUGUGGCCGCUCCUUUUGUAUCCGUCAUGGAAAUUUGCGGUGCUAUUGUCUGUGUAGUUUCCUUCCCUAAACCAGCCCACAUUUCUGUCGUGACAAGAGCUUUCACAGGGUCGGUAAAUAUGAUCUCUUCAUAAGGCUGAAAACUGGACUGAGUGAGAAACGGUCAGCUAGUGCAGCAGGUGUGAUCUUCUCUUGAGUCAUAUCUAUAGUGUGUUGAACGAGCCUGCUGUGAUGUCAGUUUGAACUGGGUUUGUGAUGAGAUACCUUCUGCAGAUCCUCUCUCUCCUAGCAAUUCACUGGACAGCAAUGGGCGAUGUACUUGAAGCACAUGGAACUGAAGGUGAAGAGUUAAACAUCAAGUGUCCAUAUCCAGAUGGUUAUCUGCAUCUACCAAAGUAUGUCUGCCGUCAUCCAUGUGGGAGAUGGGAUGUUCUUAUCACGUCGGCUGUCAGUGAACGCGCUGGAAGAUUCCUCCUGAAUGACAAUUCCGACGGGCGCUUUUUCAGUUUCACCAUGAUAAAACUGAGUCUACAGGACGCAGGCCUCUAUUACUGUGGAAUAGAAACAUGGGGCACAGACUGGAUGGUCAAAGUAAAUGUGACUGUCAGUAAAGCAACGGUUCCUGAAACCACACUGCCCCCCUCUGCUGUUCAGAGUGGCGGGGGUUCACCACACAGCAGCUCCGUCAGACCGACCAGAACUGCCUUCAGUGCUGAGCAAGAAUGGAGAGUCCCUUUCUCCACACCUCCC